rnacentral:rRNA from 1 species
CAAGCUUGCUCCUUGAUGUUAGCGGCGGACGGGUGAGUAACACGUGGGUAACCUGCCUGUAAGACUGGGAUAACAUCCGGGAAACCGGGGCUAAUACCGGAUGGUUGUUUGAACCGCAUGGUUCAAACAUAAAAGGUGGCUUCGGCUACCACUUACAGAUGGACCCGCGGCGCAUUAGCUAGUUGGUGAGGUAACGGCUCACCAAGGCAACGAUGCGUAGCCGACCUGAGAGGGUGAUCGGCCACACUGGGACUGAGACACGGCCCAGACUCCUACGGGAGGCAGCAGUAGGGAAUCUUCCGCAAUGGACGAAAGUCUGACGGAGCAACGCCGCGUGAGUGAUGAAGGUUUUCGGAUCGUAAAGCUCUGUUGUUAGGGAAGAACAAGUACCGUUCGAAUAGGGCGGUACCUUGACGGUACCUAACCAGAAAGCCACGGCUAACUACGUGCCAGCAGCCGCGGUAAUACGUAGGUGGCAAGCGUUGUCCGGAAUUAUUGGGCGUAAAGGGCUCGCAGGCGGUUUCUUAAGUCUGAUGUGAAAGCCCCCGGCUCAAAGAUU